GCAUCAUGGUUUAACCAGUAAAAUCAGGCAAAAAGAAUUAUAGUCUGAUACCCCGAAACUAAGUGAGCUACUCUAGGACAGCCUAAUGGGCCAACCCGUCUCUGUUGCAAAAGAGUGGGAAGAUCUUAGAGUAGAAAUGAUAUAUCUAGCGAACUUAGCGAUAGCUGGUUACUCAGGAAAAGAAUUUCAGUUCAACCUAAAACUAUAAUAAUACUUAAAAAUAUAAACCUAGUUUUAGAGUAAAUCAAAUAGGUAACAGCCUAUCUGAAACAGGAUACAGCCUCCAUCUAUGGGUAAUGUUAUAUUUAAAUAACUAAGUAGGCCUAAAAGCAGCCACCUUUAAAAUAGCGUCAAAGCUUAAUUAUUGUACCCAAUAAAUUCCAAAAAUAAUCUAAAACCCUACCUCAAUACUGAGUAAUUUCAUACGUAUAUGAAAAAUAUAAUGUUAAAACUAGUAACAUGAAGCUAACCCUUCUCUUAAAUAUAAGUGUAAGUCAGAAUGGAACAUACACUGACAACUAACAGCUUAAAUUAUAGUAACAAACUUAUUCAAGAAAACCCUACUAACUUUUCCCCACUGUUAACCUAACACAAGAAUAUUUUAAGAAAGACUUAAAGAAAAAGAAGGAACUCGGCAAAACUGAUUCCGCCUGUUUACCAAAAACAUCGCCUCCUGAACCCAAGCUAUAGGAGGUCCAGCCUGCCCAGUGACUCUGUUUAACGGCCGCGGUAUCCUAACCGUGCGAAGGUAGCGUAAUCACCUGUUUUUUAAUUAAAGACCUGUAUGAAAGGCAUCACGAGAAUCACACUGUCUCCUUUCUCAAGUCCGUGAAACUAAUCUCCUCGUGAAAAAGCGAGAAUACUACUACAAGACGAGAAGACCCUUUGGAGCUUAAGAUAAAAUAAAUACCUGCCCACUUCAUCUUUUAUACACCUCACAGCACUCUAUUUAUAAAUCUUGGGUUGGGGCAACCACGGAGUAAAAGAAAACCUCCGAGCUGAACGGAAAUUUCCUAAACAAAAAGCAACAGCUUUAUGUAUCAAUAAACUGACACAAUUUGACCCAAUAUAUUUGAUUAACGAACCAAGUUACCCCAGGGAUAACAGCGCAAUCCACUUAAAGAGUUCAUAUCGAAAAGUGGGCUUACGACCUCGAUGUUGGAUCAAGGUACCCCGGUGGUGCAGCCGCUACCAA
rnacentral:rRNA from 1 species